GGAAACCUGUUCGGGACUCCUUCCUCUGCACAGGGAAGGUCUCUUCUUUCUUUUGCCUGCUAAACUUCCGCUCUUGAACCCACUCCUUUUGUGUCCCCAUCCUCGAUUUCCUUGGCGUGGGGCAACAAACCACACGUAUUACCCCAGACAACCAUGCUGCUUCAAUCUCACAGGUUGAGAGCUCAUUCCCACAAGACUGCCCCCUUAUUUCCGAUGCCAAUUGCAAGCCCCAGGUUUUACCUGUUAUGACUGAAUGACUAUAAAUUGAGGGUCCCAUGGCCCCCUCCUUGUGUUCAACUGAUUUGCUAGAUUGCCUAACAGAACUAGAGGAAACACUAACUUAUGUUUACCGGUUUAUUAUGAAGGCUAUUACAAAGGAUACAGAUGAAGAGAUACAUAGGAUAAGGUAUGUGAGAAGGACUGCAGAGAUUCUAUGCCCUUCCCAGCAGCCUCUGCAUGUUCAGCUAUCAGGAAGCUCUCUACUAAAAAUAGAAAAAUUAGUUGGGCGUGGUGGCAGGCGCCUGUAAUCCCAGCUAUUCAGCAGGCUGAGGCAGGAGAAUUGCUUGAACCUGGGAGGUGAAAGUUGGAGUGAGCCGAGAUCGCCCCACCGCACUCCAGCCUGGGCGACAAGAGCAAAACUCUGUCUCAAAAAAAAAAAAAAAAAAAAAAAAAAAGGAAGUAGUGACACGAAACACUGUCUCCACACUCCACCCUUAUAACCUCCAGCUGGCACCCUGAAUGGUCUGGCCUCUCCCUGGGGGCGGAUAGGGCAGGAGACACUAAAGUAUUAAUUAUCUUUUUUGAUCAUGGCUGUAACUGUUCUGCGCCAUCUUCAACAGGUGAGACUAAGGAGGGAAUCACAGCUAGUCAUCUCAGCCAGGCCAGUAGGGGGCGCAGUGCAGUGAUCAUUCCCUGGGGCCAAGGCUGUCUCCUUGCAGGUUCAUCUCAGCUCUGCAGCAAUGCCUACUUCUUUCCAUCCGCUCCGAGGCUGUUACUAAGUAUGUGGAGCUCCUUUUCAACAACUCGCUUACUACAAAGUCCUGCUCAUUAAAAGGCGAAGGUGGUAGUGGUAGAGGACUAGAUGGGCUAAGUAUUUGCUCAACUGCUCUAUCUUGCUUUGUAACUACCAAACCAUUUCUGGGUGAGAUCAUGGGGACACCAGAUUCUUCACAUCCUUUCCUCAUUUGCUCAAGACGAGAUAAUCACAAACAGAACUUUAAGAAACCACCUGUAUAAACAUACUUGGCGUAUCUUCUGGGAAUGGAAUUAUUGAAUAGUAACCGAUUGUCAGCCUGAACAGGGUGACUUGUUGCCCUCCAGUGGUAAAUUCAAUCAGUGUUUGUACCGUCAACGUCCCCGCUCAAUCACCGUUAAACACUUAGGCAACCAAGUGUCAGCCACAAAGUUAAAAAACAGUCCUUGUUUUCAUGGAGCUUGCCAAAUAAAUAUAAGCAAAUGGUAUAAAAUCCCUUCCCUAGGGAGCAUGCUAGACACACCCGCAGGUACAGACACAGAUGGGGCAUGAUGACUUCUCCACGUGUAUGCAGUGGAGUUCUUUUAGGGAGAUUUCAGAGUGGAUGAUGUACUUUUAUACUACAACAUUUAGAAUAAUCUCUCUAAGUACAAUUCCAGAAUAUUAAAAGUAUUAUAAAAUUUGGGAAUAGACAACAGAGUCAAGUACACAAAAAGCCUAUUAUAUAUUUAAGGACUAUGUUUAGAAAAAAGGGUCCUUUUACUGGAAAGAUAGGAAAAUAGGUUUUUCUUCUUAACUUUGAUGUAUCCAGAAAAUCUGGGAGGGAGGCUCAAGGGUGGUGAGUCACUGUGAGACGUAAUGUUUAAUUUAAUCCAG
rnacentral:lncRNA from 1 species